CCAAAAUUUGCUCAUUUAUUUUCUUUACAUUAAGAUCUCUGGUUCUUACCAGUGGGUCAUUUCAAACUCUAUCUCUGCUUCCCCCAGCUAGGGAUAGAAAGCCACUAUUACAGACAGGGGCUGCAUCCUUCAGGUGCUUUCUGCAGAAAUGAGCUCAAUAACCACUGAAGACAGAUGUUAAUGAUGUCUGUUUUAAGGCAAAUUAUUUGGAGACGAGGGUAACCAAGUGGAGCUGAAUGACACUGGAUGGUAAUAACUUAAUUUGCCUCAGUGACAGUUCAUCAGGUCCUUUCACUUCCAUUUUCUCAUCUGACCAUCAUGACCUUAUGGUGUAAGUAAAAAUGAUUACUUCCCUUUUUUCUUUUCUUCAGAGGGGAAAUCUGGGUUUGGAGCAGCUAUACCAUAUAUCUAAGGUCAAACACCUAAGAGGAACUUUUAACUUGGGUCAUUUAAGUGCAAGUGCCUUGUUUUCGCCAUUUUGCCAAGGACAUGGGGCUCAAGUUUGGGUGUGCACCUGGCUUGCAGCAGAACUGGCUGGGAUGGCUUCAUAACUUCCCUUCUAACAAUAUAACAAUAUGCUUCUGUAAAUUUUCACACUGAAUUGGACAAGAAUCAGAAUAUCCUGUUUUGAACAUCUGCACAGAUUGACAAACAAAAAUGGAACAUCAAGACUGACUGGAAAUGGUGCCAAGACUGAGGCUCAGAGAAAUGAAAUAACAUGCCAAAGGUCACAGUGUCUAGUGGAGCUGGGGCCAAAUUCAGAUUAAUAACACACAGGAAAAACCCUCAACUUCUUUCAUUCGCCUGUUGAGAUAAAGGGAAAGAGAGUCCCCAUCCAGGCCUGCAGGAGAGGGAGAACUGGUGGAUGCAAAUGAAAAAGCAGAGGCAUUCCUCAGCUCUUUUAUCCCAGAGAUUAUAGUGCUGGAGUUGGAAGAAGAUGGGAGAAACAUAUGAGGAGAGAAGGAAGUCGAGCUCAUACCAUGAUGAAGAAGAUAACUCCUGAAGAUUGGGAAGGGCACUGGCUGGCUCUCAAAGAUGGACAAAUGGCUUUACGACGCUUAAGGGGAUGCUCUGUGGAGUCUGCUUGGGUGCAAAUCACCACCAUGACACACUACCCAUGGUACCGUUUUUCAGCCCCAGCCAUCACUUCAUCCUUUGCUCUGUAGCUUUCUUCAUUUGUUGGGAGAGAGGCUAUUCUUUUACUUGAACUUAGUGGGAGCUCAUUUUGCAAAGAUACAUGCUUCACCAUCCCCUGAAAGAUUUAUAUAGAAGGACACUGUGGCAACAUGUGACCUUUUGAAACUGCUCCCUUGGAAGGAAUUCUAAUGUCCUCCUGUCUAUGUUACCUGCUGUGUACCUACCACUGGGGAAAGAUGCUGAAAAUUUAAUGAAUUGCAGAAAAGCUGUGCAAGCUUCUCUUUUGGAAGAACCUUGGAGAAGAGAGAGGCUGACAGAAAGAAAACUUUCAAAGAAAUUACACUGCCCUCAAGGGUGGCAUCUACAGAGGACAGUGACAGGGCCUUGGAGACGUAUGAUUUCUUCUGCUGCUCAUUUACCUAGGUCUGUUUUCACUCUGGUGACUGGCCACAAUCAUGGGAAAAGUGAAGAAAUCUGAUAACUAUCAAGGUACAAAUUGCUAGAGAAAGAAAAUCGGGACUCUUACAACUAAGGGCUAAUUGAUGUGGAGAUGGAAGGUUUGUGGUGCUAUGUUUUGCAUGUGCCUCUGUGUGUGUUUGUGUGUGUAUAUAUAGGAGGGUAGGAGGUAGAAGAAUUCACAGUACAACCUAAUAAUCUGGGCCAUGGACCCAGCCAAAGAAGCGGGGACAGGGGUUGAAUGGAGAAGCACAUGGGACCAGAUGUACAAUGUAUCUGGAAAACAGACACAUAUACCGCAUCCAGGGAAUAACUGCAAACAGUCAAAUAACAUAUUUUGUAUUCAACCACUGACACAGAAAUUCAUGCACAAUGUAUUUUAUUUUUUAGUGGAAGAGAGAGAACUAUGCCACCCCUUUAAGGUAUGAUGCCAUUCUUAGAAAUAAAUAUUCGUAUAGAGAAAACUAUCUGAAAGGAUAGAUGUCAAAAUGUUUACAUAAGAGAUUAUUUCCGGAUGUAAGAAUUAGAGGGGAAUUUUAUAUUUUUUAUUUUUUGUGUAUGUACAGUUUCUAAUUUUCCUACAUUUAGUAUGUAAAAAGGAAAAAAAAGUAGCACAUUUUUAGAAAAGAAUUCUAAAUUUCUUUUAUAAAUAUCACUAAGGAAACAGAUUUGAUUUGGGCAAAGGGAAGAAGAGAUUAGAAUAGGGGUUGGCAAACUACGACCCUCUGAGCUAAAUCUGGCCUGCCACCUGUUUUUGUAAAUAAAGUUUCAUUGGAAUACAACCACUUCUUUCAUUUAUAUACUACAAACAUGGAGUUUAGCAGUUGUGACAAAGACCCUACGACCUACAAAGCCAAAUGGCUCUCCUAUCUGGUCCUUUACAAAAAAAGUUUGCCUAAACCCAGUUUAGAAGAAUCCUCCUAAUAUGGUCUUACCUAUUUUACCUUACUAGUUGUGUGAGCUUAGGGAAGUCAUAACUUUCACACCUCAGGUUCCUCAUGUGUAAUGAGAUGGAUAACACAUCUUAGACAUUUUAUGAAAAUUAAAUGAUUUAAUACAUAAAUGGUGCUAAACACUGUGUUUGGCAUAUAGUAGAUGCUCAAUAAAUAUUAUGCUCCUACUUAUUUUCUACUUCCUUUAAAUAAAAUGCAUUAUUCUGAUUUCAUGGCAAAUCUAAUGAAACUGCCAUUUUUGCUAGUCAAAAUUGUUCAAUAUUGGCAAUUUUAUAUGGCUCAAUGUAAUCAUACUUUAGCCAUUUACUAUUCUCAUUGCUCUUGUUUAAGUUGUAAUUGCUGAGCUUGUAUCUAUCAAUGUCACCAAGGUAGUUUUAGGGUUAGCUAAAUUGCCACAAACGGCUGGAAACCAAAAUCUAUUAAUAGCAUUGUUCUAUCCAAAUGUGGACACUUUGGGUGUAUGAAACAAAACACUGUAUUUGUAUUUCACUUUGUUACUUGUGUAACACAGGGAAAUCUGCAUUCAAUGCACCUAUGGUGUGACAGAUUAGGGCCUCUUUCCUGCUGCCCUAAAUAGAAGCUUUUUAGAUAAAGGAUAUUUGCUUCCACCCUACAAAACAGCACCUGACUUAAAUUUCAGCAGACUCAGUGAGCUUUCACAGCACUGCGACAAUCACUCUUGGCACUGAGCAAAGUUCUGACACAGUCUACCACAACAUCCUGGGAAGAACUGCUGAAGGGAACAUGGGGCUCAGGAUGCUACAAAAUUUGGAGACUGUCAUUCAAUCGCACUUGAAGAUGAUAUUCUGGGGCUUAGUGCAGAUCCAAAAUAGGAGUUCUUUAAAAAAGUAAAAUGGGGUUUCUCCAAGAACAAGACAGGAAGACCGACUGGAACAUCAAUGGAAUGUAAGUGUAAGAAGUUGCAGAUAGGGAAGUAUAGGAUGAGCUUCAUGAAAAGGAGGCAAAAUCAGGAAACUGAAAGACUAAUCAAAGUAUUCUUAUCAACAGAAAUGAAGAAAGGCUUUUAGUUCAGUGCUAAGACUAUCAAAGGAAGAACAAACCCAAUUUAAUCCAAUCAACACUUAUUAAAUGCCUACUUUAUGCCAGGCACUGGGUUAACACAGCUAGAGAUAGUAAGAUAAAUCAGACACAAUUUCUACCUUAGAGAAGUUUCUGGGCUGGUGGGAGGGAGAUAAACAUGGAACCAAAUAACUUUAAUAUCGUGAUAAAUGUUAUAAUACUAACAAUAAUAGCUGUCAUUUAUUAAUUGUGUAAAAUGUAAAGCAAACACAGAAUGGAAAAAUUAGUUUUGCUUGGAGAGGUCCAGAGAGGGUAGGGAGGAGGGGAAUAAUUACAGUCAGCACCUGAAAAUGACCAAAAGUUCACGAAGCUAAUACUGAGGCAAGAAUGAGAGUGAUGUGCUGUGGUUUCAGGACAGGAUGGAUUGUUGUAAUGGUUAAAAUGAAGCUGACGAAAAACCUCAUAAGCCAAACUUAGGAAUUGUGACGUUAUUCAGUAGGCAUUAAUUCUCAAUAAGCAGGAAGCAGUUUGGUUCAGUCCGGUUUAAAAAAGACAAGAGAAUACUUUCCUAGAGAGCCAUGAGGCAGGAUCAUAGGAAGAAGAGAGACUAAAUGGUUCUGUCUGUGAAAAUUUAGACCAGAAAAGUGGCAGUAAGAAGAGAGAAGAGGAGAUGGAUACAGGAUGCAGCAUGUCUUCAAACUGAAAUGCAAAAGUGGAGGGAGACAUUCUGAAGACCCAGAGGAGAAACAGAUGAAAAGAACUGUGGUGUGGGAGGAGCAAGGGACGGUAGGCAAGGAGAAGACCACAGUUAGGUCACUGGCCUUGGGAAAGGGAACAUCUUUUUUUCCUCGACCAGCCUGGGCAACACGGUGAAAACCUGCCUCUACAAAUAAAAAUACAAAAAAAUUUGGCCAAGUGUGGUAGUGUGCGCCUGUAGUCCCAGGUACUCGGGAGGCUGUGUGUGGAGGCUCUGGGGCUUGUGCCCAGGGUAUCGAGGCUGCAGUGAGCCGUGAUGUCACAUGUCACGUCUCAUUAAAGGGUAUUGAAUGAUACCCAAGAGAGGAAAAAUCUGAUUUCCUUAGCCUGGCCCUCAAAGCAUUCUGUAAUGUAGCUCACAACCUAUUCUUCUGAUCCAUUUUCACCUCCUUUAUUCUUCCCUCCUGAGGGUAUAGAUACCCAAAUGUCUUCGGGACUCAGGCGGGUAACACACAAGGGGGUGAAGUGGCAGGGUCUGAGGCCCUGAAGUGGUGAGUCCAUGGCUCACAGGACGUUAUAUUUUCUUUUUAAAUUCACUGAGAGGCAAACAACAUAUAUACACACAGAGAUUUUAGAAGUUUAACGUUUAUCUUGAGAGGCUUUACCUUCUAAAAUUCUACACAGCAUCAAUCCAGCCUUCUCUAAGCAGACUUCCCAGUCAACCAGGCUUAUAGACAAGAGUUC
rnacentral:lncRNA from 1 species